rnacentral:rRNA from 1 species
CAGCAGUGGGGAAUAUUGCGCAAUGGGGGAAACCCUGACGCAGCGACGCCGCGUGCGGGAUGAAGGCCUUCGGGUUGUAAACCGCUUUUGAUUGGGAGCAAGCCUUCGGGUGAGUGUACCUUUCGAAUAAGCGCCGGCUAACUACGUGCCAGCAGCCGCGGUAAUACGUAGGGCGCAAGCGUUAUCCGGAUUUAUUGGGCGUAAAGAGCUUGUAGGCGGUUCGUCGCGUCUGGUGUGAAAGCCCAUCGCUUAACGGUGGGUCUGCGCCGGGUACGGGCGGGCUAGAGUGCAGUAGGGGAAACUGGAAUUCUCGGUGUAACGGUGGAAUGUGUAGAUAUCGGGAAGAACACCAAUGGCGAAGGCAGGUUUCUGGGCUGUUACUGACGCUGAGAAGCGAAAGCGUGGGGAGCGAACAGGAUUAGA